GCGUACGGCCAUACCACCUUGAGAACGCCCGAUCUCGUCUGAUCUCGGAACUAAGCAAAGUCGGGCCUGGUUAGUACUCUUGGAUGGGAGACCGCCUGGGGAAUAACCAGGUGGCUGUAAGCU
rnacentral:rRNA from 1 species